AAAGGUAGUACCAGUGGAUGCACCAUCGCUCGCUACUGGCAGAGUCAUACCGCUGCCAACCAUAUCCUGAGGCAACCAUAUCUUGCAGUGCAGACCCUUUUUCCGAGCGGUUCAGCGGAGCAUGCACAGCACAAAUGGCCAUUUUGAGUCGCUUGGUGACAUGAUGAUUCGAGAUAUGCAAGUGCAUUUGGAGAUAUAAGGGACUACUAAUGAAGAUGUCACAUACAGUACAGUUGGAGAUCAAUGUUAUUUAUCUGGGGAAAACUUGAAGAAUUGCAUGUGGAUAUUACCCAAGGUUGAUGGUGCCGAUGCCGUGUCUUCAGUUUGUUGGGCGUUUCUUUGUGCCUUCGAUCGUUUCGGCAUCGCGGGCGUAUAUUGGAUGCAAGUUGCUGGAGUUGUUACCAUGCCUUCAAUUUGUCGGCCGUCUCGUCCCUUUGAUUGUCCUGAUAUCUUGAAUAAGGAUCUAUUGAGAAAGUGCAUCAUGGGUCAUUUAGAAAUGUUUGUCUUGUAAAAAUAUAGUUGAAAUUAUGUGAUAUAAGCAGAAGGGAUGAGUGUGUGACCAUACCUCUUAUUUGUUUUCUGAGACUGAUCUAGCAAUUUGUAUCUUCACGUAGGGAUUUGUAUUAUUUAAAUUACCUGAGAGCAGAGGUUCUAUGAGAAUAUGUUAGCUUGUAAUAAGGAUGUCAAAAUAAUAUGCUUAUUAAAAAGAGGAAAUACAUAA